GCCGCGGUAAUUCCAGCUCCAAUAGCGUAUACUAAAGUUGUUGCGGUUAAAAAGCUCGUAGUUGGAUCUUGGAAUGUGUUCAAGCGGGUCAGCUUCUGGCUGUGCGCUGCUUGACGUGUUCUUCUAUUUGGUUUUGGUGCGGUGCGCUUAACUGCGUGUCGCUCCCGGCCGAAACGUUUACCUUGAAAAAAUUAGAGUGUUCAAAGCAGACCUGUUUGAGUCUGAAUAUUCGUGCAUGGAAUAAUGAAAUAUGAAUUCGGUUCUAUUUUGUUGGUUUUCGGAACUCGAGUUAAUGAUCAAGAGGGACAGACGGGGGCAUUCGUACUCUGCCGUUAGAGGUGAAAUUCUUGGAUCGGCGGAAGGCGCGCAACUGCGAAAGCAUUUGCCAAGAAUGUUUUCUUUAAUCAAGAACGAUAGUCGGAGGUUCGAAGACGAUCAGAUACCGUCCUAGUUUCGACUGUAAACUAUGCCAGCUAACGAUCAGACAGAGUUCUCUACGACUUGUCUGGCAGUUUCCGGGAAACCAAAGCGUUUGGGUUCCGGGGGAAGUAUGGUUGCAAAGCUGAAACUUAAAGGAAUUGACGGAAGGGCACCACCAGGAGUGGAGCCUGCGGCUUAAUUUGACUCAACACGGGGAAACUCACCCGGCCCGGACACAGUGAGGAUUGACAGAUUGAGAGUUCUUUCUUGAUUCUGUGGGUGGUGGUGCAUGGCCGUUCUUAGUUGGUGGAGCGAUUUGUCUGGUUAAUUCCGAUAACGAACGAGACUCUGGCAUGUUAAAUAGUCGCGGAAGUGCGUAUGCACUUGCCGAAUUGACUUCUUAGAGGGACUAGUGAUUUUAAUUCACACGAGAUUGAGCAAUAACAGGUCUG
rnacentral:rRNA from 1 species